UUAGUGACCCUAAUCAUGCUCACGAGAAAACCUUCUAAGUUAUGGUUAUUACAACCCGUACCGUAAACCGACACAGGUAGUCGAGAUGAAUAUUCUAAGGCGCUCGGGUGAGCCACGGAGAAGGAACUAGGCAAAUUGUAGCUGUAACUUCGGGAUAAAGCUAUCCCGCGCAAGCGGGAUUCAAUGAAAUGGUUCAACCAACUGUUUAGCAAAAACACAGGGCCCUGCAAAUUCGAAAGAAGACGCAUAGAGCCUGAUACCUGCCCGGUGCCGGAAGGUUAAGGAAGCUUGUCAGGAGUAAUCCAAAGCUUGCGACCGAAGCCCCGGUAAACGGCGGCCGUAACAAUAACGGUCCUAAGGUAGCGAAAUUCCUUGUCGGGUAAGUUCCGACCUGCACGAAUGGUCUAAUGAGUUGAACACUGUCUCCUCCGUGAGCCCGGUGAAAUUGUAGUAUCGGUGAAGAUGCCGGUUACCCGCCACGGGACGAAAAGACCCCGUGAACCUUCACUACAACUUUGCAUUGAUUUUGAGUAACAGAUGUGUAGAAUAGUUGGGAGGCUUUGAAGCAGUGGCGCCAGCCAUUGUGGAGCCAACGUUGAAAUACCAACCUUCUGUUACUUAGAGUCUAAUCCGCGUAAGCGGAGACAUUGCAUGGUGGGUAGUUUGACUGGGGUGGUCGCCUCCUAAAGUGUAACGGAGGCUCGCAAAGGUACCCUCAGUACGGUUGGUAAUCGUACGUAGAGCGCAUUAGUAUAAGGGUGCUUGACUGUGAGACUGACUAGUCGAGCAGGUGCGAAAGCAGGCUAAAGUGAUCCGGUGGUUUCCGUAUGGAAGGGCCAUCGCUCAAAGGAUAAAAGGUACUCCGGGGAUAACAGGCUGAUCUCCCCCAAGAGCCCAUAUCGACGGGGAGGUUUGGCACCUCGAUGUCGGUUCGUCACAUCCUGGGGCUGGAGAAGGUCCCAAGGGUUCGGCUGUUCGCCGAUUAAAGUGGCACGUGAACUGGGUUCAGAGCGUCGCAAGACAGUUCGGUCUCUAUCUGUGGUGGGCGUUAGUAAAUUGCGAGGACAUGCUCUUAGUACGAGAGGACCGGAGCGUAUGUACCGCUGGUGUAUCUGUUGUUCCGCCAGGAGCAGUGCAGAGUAGCUAUGUACAGCCAGGAUAAGCGCUGAAAGCAUCUAAGCGCGAAACCUUCCUCAAGAUGAGUUUACUUUUAAGUGCCGUGACAGACGAUCACGUUGAUAGGCUAUAGGUGUAAAGGUGGUAACAUCAAAGCCGAGUAGUACUAAUUGCACGUAAGCUUUAAUC
rnacentral:rRNA from 1 species